rnacentral:rRNA from 1 species
GCAGCCUGCAACUCGGCUGCAUGAAGCUGGAAUCGCUAGUAAUCGCGGAUCAGAAUGCCGCGGUGAAUACGUUCCCGGGUCUUGUACACACCGCCCGUCACACCAUGGGAGCCGGGAAUGCUCGAAGUCAGUGGCCCAACCGCAGGGAGGGAGCUGCCGAAGGCAGGCCUGGUGACUGGGGUGAAGUCGUAACAAGGUAGC